rnacentral:rRNA from 1 species
AUUUAAAUGGCCGCAGUAUUUUGACUGUGCAAAGGUAGCAUAAUCAUUAGUUUCUUAAUUAGGAACUUGUAUGAAUGGUUGGAUGAGAAAUAAUCUGUCUCUACAUAAUUUAAUUAGAAUUUUAUUUUUAAGUUAAAAAGCUUAAAUUUUUAUUAUAGACGAGAAGACCCUAUAGAGUUUUAUUUAUUUAUUUAUUUAAUUUAUAAAGUAUUAAUAAUUUAUUUAUUUAAGUAAAUUUUGUUGGGGUGACAGGAAAAAUUAUUUAACUUUUUUUUUAAUAUACAUUUAUUUAUGAUUUGUUGAUCCAAUAUUUUUGAUUAUAAGAUUAAAUUACCUUAGGGAUAACAGCGUAAUUUUUUUUGAGAGUUCUUAUCGAAAAAAAAGUUUGCGACCUCGAUGUUGGAUUAAAAUUUAGGGUUGGCGUAGAAGUUAAUCUUUUAAGUCUGUUCGACUUUUAAAAUUUUACAUGAUCUGAGUUUAAACCGGUGUGAGCCAGGUUGGUUUCUAUCUUAAUUAAGUUAAAAUAUUUUAGUACGAAAGGACCAAUUAUUUAUAUAAAAUAUUAAUUUUUGAAUAAUUAUGUUACUUUGGCAGAUUAGUGCAUUAAAUUUAGAAUUUAAUUAUGUAUAAUUAUACAGGUAAUACUUGAUUUUGUUUGAUUUUUUAUUAUUAUUAGUUAGAGGAUUAAUUUUAGUAGUCUGUGUAUUGGUAGGUGUA